rnacentral:misc_RNA from 1 species
GACGCGCUACAGAACCGAGGAAGCCCCAGCAGCACCCGAAACGCGUUAUUGUAUUGAAUACGAAGGGAGUUGUCGGCCUUCUGCGUAUAUCUGACCCACAGGCUACAUGUGUAGAAUGUUUGGCAAUACGCCCUAAAUAGCGUAACUUUUACACUUCUUGUACACCUUGCAAACCUGCGAGCCAGCAUAUUACAUCGAACCGACAACGCCCUACGUUCCCUCUCAAUAUCCUCAUCAUCGUUCAGAUUGUCGGUCAGAAUGUGCCCAAGGUAUUUAAACCGAGAAACUCUCUUUAGCGCCACCCCAUAUAAAUAAACUGGAGGCACUGUCGUUGGUUUUUUUGUGCCUGUCCGAAACACCAUAAACUCACUUUUUCUAACAUUGUACAGUAGGCCAUGUGCCACCGCGUAUCCUUCACACAACCCAAGUAACUGUCUAAGAGCAUCAAUCGAGGGACUCAGCAGCACCAUGUCAUCAGCAUAGCUUAUACUAUUGAUAGUCAUGCCAUCAAUAGAACAUCCAAGACCAGUACUGGCAAGGUCCUCAACUAGCUGAUUUAUGUAUAAACUGAAGAGUGCCGGUGAUGUCGAACCUCCCUGCCUUACACCACACUCCAGUCCAUACUCACCAGAUAACGCCCCAGACCAUUUGACCUGAUUAACCUGGUUGUUGUACCAAUACUCCAGGAGAUUAACCAUCUCAUGAGCUACUGCUUUUUCCCGUAAUUUAGUCCAUAAGAUCCUGUAAUUAACCAGGUUGUUGAGUCGUCCCACUCGCUUCAACCGCGUCCACGACAAGUGGGGGCGACUGUGACGUCGUGGUGCAACGGCUCGCCGCGUAUGCGCGGAGUCUGAGGUCAAAUCUUGCUUAUGCGCACCGGCCGCGCCCACGCGUUCUUACUACUUUAAUUCUUAUUUGCUUAAUUGUACUAUAUUGUUAUAUUUAAAGUCAUUAUACGUAUUUAUAUGUUAUACAGUCCACUAGUAUUAUUUACUCCACCUGCUGAGCUAUCGUCGCAACAUAUGGUCCUUCUCCCAAGAAAAAUUGAACUGGACAAAGAAGACAAAGGACUUUGGAGGACAUCGUACACGUCACCGAGUGACUCAGAGAUUAUUAUCAAGUUUCUUCGCUGUGAACAUUGUUACGUCGUGAUAUAUCGGCACGGCUUGAGACUUUUCGGCCGUCUUAGCUGACGUCACCCAACUGACACGAGAAGAAACGGAAUUUGGGCUACUCAUCAUUCGUCAUCAUAACGGACAGCAAAUACACGUGUUCGGAUUGUCGUCGUGCAUUGAGAUAUCUGACAAGAAUACUCCUCGGCACAGUCAUCAUCAGUGGUUUGCACCGGAAAACAGUGAGCUCGUUCCAAUUCCUUAUUUAAUCAUCUCAUCAUCAUAAUCAUAUUCAUUAUCAUCCAUAUCCUGCAUUUCAUUCAUUUUUUACCUCAUAAUAAUUAAAGAACGGUGUUACAUUUUUUGCAAGUCAUCUCCACAUUAUUUCAUCAUAUUUCAUCCCAUUUUACCAUUUAUUUCAACUGUUUCAUCUCUUCAUUCAUUCAUUUCACUAUAAGUUAAUCAUAUCCAUUACAGUGUCGUUUUAUAUUUCAGCCAAAAUCGAAUAUUAUUAUCUUAUAACGUUAACAUUACACAGCGAUUAUCAGUGCACAAACGCCUUGCAUUUUUAAAUAGCAAUACGCAUUCUGCUACAAUCUUGCUCGUGCACUUUAUCUUGCAACUCGUUGCUAUCGUUUUAUUGGAAGUGUUAACUUGCUGUUAGUUUAUAUAUUUCCUUAGUGCUUUAUUACCAAAAUCUAUCGCCUUCUCUUAAAAUGUCUGACAUUAAAAGCCUUAUUAAGAAACGUGCUUCAAUUAAAGCAAAGCUUACGCAAUUUUCUUCAUACUUGAACAUUUCCAAGUCAUGUGAACAGUUGAGCGAAGUUCAGAUUGUUGAGGUUGAGUAUAGACUUAAUACUAUCGAAAAUCUAUAUGAUAAAUACGACGUGUUACAGGCCGACAUGGAAGAGAUGGUGGACGACCUUAGCGAGCAAUAUGCGGAGCGUGAGGAGUUCGAAAAGCAGUACUACAGCUUGGUGGCUGCAGCACGUCAGCUGAUCAGCAAUGCUCGCAAGCAAGCUUCAGGGAACUCCAUAGCCGAGCGCUGGUGAAUGUGUCGGAUGCUAAAGGCAACGUUCAUACUGCACGAACCCUGCUGGAUAACGGGAGUACGACUAACCUUAUGUCACAGGAGUUGGCUCGUAAACUUAACAUUUCCACCUAUACAGUCGAGUCUAAGGUAACAGGCAUUAAUGAUCAAUCCUCUUAUUGUACACAAGGUUGUUCGAUUUCAUUAAAGUCAGUCAAUAGUGAAUAUGACAUCGAUAUUGAUUGCUAUGUCGUGUCCAAAAUUUCAUCGUGUGUACCAAAUACAUAUAUUGAUGUGCACAAUAUAAAUAUACCUACCAAUAUAGUCCUGGCUGACCCUCAGUUUUACGUUCCAUCUUCUAUAGAUAUUCUUGUAGGUGCUGAAGUCUUUUGGAACGUUUAAGGUACUAGCCGUAUAGACUUAGGUAAAUCCAUGCCUACUUUAUUUGAGUCCAAAUUGGGAUGGCUGUUAUCAGGAGUCAUCAAGCAAUCAAAUUCUUCUUCUCAUUUAUGUUUGCUGGCUGAUACUUUGCAGGCAGACUUAAACCGUUUUUCUAAGCCAGACUCAGUUUCAGCAAAACAUCUCACGCGCGAAGAGCGUUCUUGUGAGGAAUUAUCUUUGAAGUCCACUUACCGUGAUGCGGAUGGACGCUUCGUAAUUAGCAUACCACUUAAGGAAUCUCCUGACAUAUUGGGUGAUUCCUAUAACAUGGCUAAGCGCCGCUUAGCAUUACCCUACACAUUAGGGCUGAACUGGAGGUGCUCAUCACAUACCUUUUCUUUCUCCAUGUCAAAUGCAACUUCCAGUAACAUUGCCACAAAACGUAAGAUUUUGUCUGUCAUUGCUCAGAUCUUUGAUUCUAUUGGCUUGGUCGUUCCUUGCAUAGUGGAAGCCAAGAUAAUCAUGCAGCAACUGUGACUGAUAAAGUGUUCCUGGGAUGAGCCAGUUCCCGAACAUAUUCAGCAUCCACGGGACAGCUUUCAAAAUAGCUUACCUUUUUUAAAUGAUUUUAGGAUGCGUCGGUGGAUCACGUGUGAAUCAUCAUCUUCUGUGCAGUUGCAGGUGUUUACCGACGCAUCUGAAAGGGCGUAUGGUGCUUGUUUGCAUGUCCGCAGCGUAUCGCUUAGUGGACGGAUCGUUAAGGUGCUUCCUGGUAGAGACGGCAUUGCACGAGUCGCCGACAUCCGCACACGUAAGGGUGUCAUUCGGCGAGCGUUCAACACUAUUUGCCCGUUAGCCGUCGCCACUGCUGUUGAAGACACUUCAACGGGGGGAGUAUGUUGAGUCGUCCCACUCGCUUCAACCGCGUCCACGACAAGUGGGGGCGACUGUGACGUCGUGGUGCAACGGCUCGCCGCGUAUGCGCGGAGUCUGAGGUCAAAUCUUGCUUAUGCGCACCGGCCGCGCCCACGCGUUCUUACUACUUUAAUUCUUAUUUGCUUAAUUGUACUAUAUUGUUAUAUUUAAAGUCAUUAUACGUAUUUAUAUGUUAUACA